UGAUGGGUUUAUAGAGGAUGGUAGAAGAAUGGAUUGUUCUCCAUGUCGUCAUGUGGUUAUAGAAUAUAGCUAAACUAAUUAUUUGACCUUGGAUGUGAAUUUUGUACGGUUUGAAUGGUAGACGUUAGUUUCUGCUCCAUAUAUGAUCGUGACUUUUGAACAAGAUUUGUUCUUUGGUUGUCAUGGGAAUUAGGAUGCUCAAACUUAAGUGCCAAUGUAAUGCAA
rnacentral:misc_RNA from 1 species